AGAGUUGUAUCCUGGCUCAGAUUGAACGCUGGCGGCAUGCCUUACACAUGCAAGUCGAACGGUAACGCGGGGCAACCUGGCGACGAGUGGCAAACGGGUGAGUAAUGCAUCGGAACGUGCCCAGUAGUGGGGGAUAGCCCGGCGAAAGCCGGAUUAAUACCGCAUACGACCUACGGGUGAAAGCGGGGGACUCGCAAGAGCCUCGCGCUAUUGGAGCGGCCGAUGUCAGAUUAGCUAGUUGGUGGGGUAAAAGCCUACCAAGGCGACGAUCUGUAGCUGGUCUGAGAGGACGACCAGCCACACUGGGACUGAGACACGGCCCAGACUCCUACGGGAGGCAGCAGUGGGGAAUUUUGGACAAUGGGCGCAAGCCUGAUCCAGCCAUGCCGCGUGCGGGAAGAAGGCCUUCGGGUUGUAAACCGCUUUUGUCAGGGAAGAAACGCUCUGGGCUAAUACCCUGGGGUAAUGACGGUACCUGAAGAAUAAGCACCGGCUAACUACGUGCCAGCAGCCGCGGUAAUACGUAGGGUGCAAGCGUUAAUCGGAAUUACUGGGCGUAAAGCGUGCGCAGGCGGUUAUACAAGACAGAUGUGAAAUCCCCGGGC
rnacentral:rRNA from 1 species